AUUGAACGCUGGCGGCAGGCCUAACACAUGCAAGUCGAGCGAGCGGCGGACGGGUGAGUAAUGUCUGGGGAACUGCCUGAUGGAGGGGGACAACUACUGGAAACGGUAGCUCAUACCGCAUACCAUCGGAUGUACCCAUAUGGGAUUAGCUAGUAGGUGAGGUAAUGGCUCACCUAGGCGACGAUCCCUAGCUGGUCUGAGAGGAUGACCAGCCACACUGGAACUGAGACACGGCCCAGACUCCUACGGGAGGCAGCAGUGGGGAAUAUUGCACAAUGGGCGCAAGCCUGAUGCAGCCAUGCCGCGUGUAUGAAGAAGGCCUUAGGGUUGUAAAGUACUUUCAGCGGGGAGGCGUUACCCGCAGAAGAAGCACCGGCUAACUCCGUGCCAGCAGCCGCGGUAAUUC
rnacentral:rRNA from 1 species